rnacentral:rRNA from 1 species
CUAAGUACCUUCAGGAAAAGAAAGAAAAAUCGAUUUCCCCAGUAGUGGCGAGCGAAAAGGAAAGAGCCUAAACUGGCUAUAUGUAAUAACCCUUAUGUGUUGUAUGGUCAGGGUCGAGGGAGUUGCGAGGAGCGAGAUAAGGCUUGCUUAAAAAAACUGUUAUUUCUAGCUGAACAAGCAGGAAAGCUUGACUAUAAAGGGUGAUAGUCCCGUAAGUGAAAGGAAUAAAAGUUUUUUCUGUAAUUUCCCGAGUAAUGCCGGUCACGUGGAAACCGGCAUGAAUUAAGGAGGACCACCUCCUAAGGCUAAAUACUUUUGGUAACCGAUAGUGAACAAGUAGCGUGAGUGAACGAUGAAAAGAACCCCUUUUAGGGGAGUGAAAUAGAACCUGAAACCAUGUACUUACAAGCGGUGGAAGCACAAUAUUAAUUGAAUUUAUUUCUUUUAAUUCGUGUAACCGCGUGCCUUUUGUAUAAUGAACCGGCGAGUUGUUGUUUGUUGCAGGUUAAGCCUAUAAUGGGUGAAGCCAAAGCGAAAGCGAGUGCUAACUGCGCGAAUAAAUGUAGCAGAUAGCAGACCCGAAACCGAGUGAUCUACCCUUGGUCAGGAUGAAGUUCCGGUAAAACGGAAUGGAGGUCCGAACGCAUUUACGUUGAAAAGUGAUGCGAUGAACUGAGGGGAGGAGUAAAAGUCUAAUCAAACUCGGAGAUAGCUGGUUCUCCCCGAAAUAGCUUUAGGGCUAGCCUUAUGCAACCGUGUAGUAGGGGUAGAGAUACUGAUUGAGUAUUGGGGCCCACCAGGCUACCGAGCACAAUCAAACUCCGAAUACUACUGCAUUUGACAUAGGAGUCAGACUAUGGGGGAUAAGCUCCGUAGUCGAGAGG